UUCCCAUCUCGAACACGGAAGUUAAGCCCUCCAGCGCCGAUGGUACUCGGGGCGCAGGCCCCCGGAAGAGUAGGUCGCUGCCAGAA
rnacentral:rRNA from 1 species